AUUGAACGCUGGCGGCAGGCCUAACACAUGCAAGUCGAGCGAGCGGCGGACGGGUGAGUAAUGUAUGGGGACUGCCCGAUAGAGGGGGAUAACUACUGGAAACGGUGGCUCAUACCGCAUACUAUCGGAUAACCCAUAUGGGAUUAGCUAGUAGGUGGGGUAAAGGCUCACCUAGGCGACGAUCUCUAGCUGGUCUGUGAGGAUGAUCAACAACACUGGGACGGAGACACGGCCCAGACACCAAGGGUGGAAGCAGUGGGGAAUAUUGCACAAUGGGCGCAAGCCUGAUGCAACCGUGCCGCGUGUAUGAAGAAGGCCUUAGGAUUGUAAAGUACUUUCAGCGGGGGGGCGUUACCCGCAGAAUAAGCACCGGCUAACGCCGGGCCAGCAGCCGCGGUAAUAC
rnacentral:rRNA from 1 species